rnacentral:rRNA from 1 species
AUGAACGCUGGCGGCGUGCUUUAAGCAUGCAAGUCAAGGGGACUUUGUAGCAAUACGAAGUAACCGGCAGACGGGUGAGUAACGCGUAGGAAUCUACCUCUGGGUGGAGCAUAGCCUGCCGAAAGGCGGGGUAAUUCUCCAUAGUAUCGCAAGAUUAAAGGGCUUCACGGCCCGCCGAGAGAGGAGCCUGCGUCCUAUCAGCUAGUUGGUAAGGUAAUGGCUUACCAAGGCAAUGACGGGUAGCUGGACUGAGAGGUCGAUCAGCCACAACUGCACUGAGACACGGGCAGUACAUCUACGGAUGGCAGCAACUGGGAAUAUUCGGCAAUGGACGAAAGUCUGACCGAGCGACGCCGCGUGGAGGAAGACGGCCUUCGGGUUGUAAACUCCUUUUGAUAGACCCUUCACGGUCUAUAGAAUAAGCCUCUACUAACUACGUGCCAGAAGUCUCGGUAAUACGUAGGAGGCAAGCGUUAUCCGGAAUUAUUGGGCGUAAAGUGUGCGUAGGCGUUCUUUCAAGUCAUCACUUAAAGACCGGGGCUUACCCUCGGAUUUGGUGGUGAUACUGGGAGAAUUGAGGAUUGAUCGGGGUGCUGGAACAGUUAGUGUAGCAGUGAAAUGCGUUGAUAUUAACUGGAACACCGAUGGCGAAGGCAGGCACCUGGAUUUUUCCUGACGCUGAGGCACGAAAGCUAGGGGAGCGAAACAGAUUAGAUACCUGUGUAGUCCUAGCUGCAAACGAUGUCCGCUAGCUAUCACUCACAAGUGAAUAAGCAGCUAGCUUUUGGCCAUUAGCUUUUAGAUUUUUCUAAUUGCUAACAGCUAAUUGCAAAUGGCUUGUUAAUUUUGUGAGUGGUGGUGUAAGCUAACGCGUUAAGCGGACCGCCUGGGGACUACGGUCGCAAGACUAAAACUCAAAGGAAUUGACGGGGACCCGCACAACCGGUGGAGCGUGUGGUUCAAUUCGAGACAAAGCGAAAAACCUUACCAGGGCUUGACAUACUACCGUUUUAUACCUAUGGAAACACUGGUAGAUCCGUAAGGAUGGUAGUACAGGUGUUGCAUGGCUGUCGUCAGCUCGUGCCGUGAGGUGUUCCCUUAAGUGGGGAAACGAGCGCAACCCCCGUCCAAUGUUACAUAUUCAUUGGAGACUGCCCCAUUUUUGGGGAGGAAGGAGGGGUAGAUGUCAAGUCAGCACGGCCCUUAUGCCCUGGGAUACACACACCCUACAAUGGCGAAGAACAAUGUGUUGCUAACUAGUAAUAGUGUGCUAAUCACUGAAAUUUCGCCUCAGUUCAGAUUGAGGUCUGCAACUCGACCUCAUGAAGUCGGAAUCGGUAGUAAUCGCGGAUCAGAAGGCCGCGGUGAAUACGUUCUCGGGUCUUGUACACACCGCCCGUCAAGGCAGCAAAGUCGGGGGUGGCUGAAGCGCCUAGCUCAGCUAGGUUCUAGGCCAAAUUCGGCGAUGAGGCUU